rnacentral:rRNA from 1 species
GCUUGUCUCAAAGAUUAAGCCAUGCAUGUCUAAGUAUAAACUGCUUUAUACUGUGAAACUGCGAAUGGCUCAUUAAAUCAGUUAUAGUUUAUUUGAUGGUACUUACUUACUCGGAUAACCGUAGUAAUUCUAGAGCUAAUACGUGCGUAAAUCCCGACUUCUGGAAGGGACGUAUUUAUUAGAUAAAAGACCGACCGGACUUUGUCCGACCCGCGGUGAAUCAUGAUAACUUCACGAAUCGCACAGGCUUGUCCUGGCGAUGUUUCAUUCAAAUUUCUGCCCUAUCAACUUUCAACCGUAAGGUAGUGGCCUACGGUGGUGGUAACGGGUGACGGAGGAUUAGGGUUCGAUUCCGGAGAGGGAGCCUGAGAAACGGCUACCACAUCCAAGGAAGGCAGCAGG